AGCUUGAGAAAAUCUGCAAGGAAGAAUGGAAGAAAAUCCCCAAAACCAGAUGUGCAAAGCUGAUAGACACCGUUGAUGACCCAAAUCUGUAAUCGCUACUAAAGGAACUAGAGGAGUGCUUCCUGAAGGAGGUACAGGAUGGAAUGCAGCUUAGGGUCAACAUGCCAAGUGGAAGAGGGCCUGUGAGACAGAGUGGACCUGUGGAUGUGCAGCCAACCCAGCAGGAGCACCUCAGGAAAACCUCCAAGACCCAGAUCAGAGAGUUGGAAUUCAUCAACUACCUAGAGUUUAAGACCAUCCCUCAGUGAGUCCCCCUCAGUAACACACAUGGUCUUCCAUAUACUUUUAGUGCAGUUUUAUUUGAGAUGUUACUGCAGAUCUGGCGGUUUUACCAGUAAAAUAAAUACAUGUUUAUAAUAUCUCUUUCCUCUAUCACUCUUUUCCUUUGUAUCACUCUUUUCUCUUGAUACAUGAAAGGCUGUGUGACAUAUGACCAGCUGGACGCUUCUUUGGCAAGCGUUACACAGCCGUAACAGGGAAGUAAAAAGUCUUGCACCUGCCAGUAAAAACCCUGAAUAAUGCCACACGCAAGCUUCAUCAGCGAUUUUAAGGAGGACGACGCAAAAGGUACCUCACGCAAACUACAGUUCUAA